AUUGAACGCUGGCGGCAUGCCUUACACAUGCAAGUCGAACGGCAGCACGGGAGCAAUCCUGGUGGCGAGUGGCGAACGGGUGAGUAAUAUAUCGGAACGUGCCCGGUCGUGGGGAUAACGUAGCGAAAGCUACGCUAAUACCGCAUACGAUCUACGGAUGAAAGCGGGGGAUCGCAAGACCUCGCGCGAUUGGAGCGGCCGAUAUCAGAUUAGGUAGUUGGUGAGGUAAAGGCUCACCAAGCCGACGAUCUGUAGCUGGUCUGAGAGGACGACCAGCCACACUGGGACUGAGACACGGCCCAGACUCCUACGGGAGGCAGCAGUGGGGAAUUUUGGACAAUGGGCGCAAGCCUGAUCCAGCAAUGCCGCGUGCAGGAUGAAGGCCUUGGUUGUAACUAGCUUUUGUUACGGUAACGGAAACGG
rnacentral:rRNA from 1 species